CUACCUCUGCAGUGGCAUCUCCCUGUUUUCCACACUUCACUCUACACCUCGUGUCACUGGUGUCCAGAUGCUGGGAGUAGGGCCUGCCAGAUUAAAUAAGAGAUGCCCCGUUAAAUGUAAUUUCAGCUCCAUAGUCCCUCAGUAUUCCUGUCAACACGUAAUACAGAAAUACUCACUGGGAAUAGUUACAGAAGCAAGAGCUCCCACCCAGCGUCUUCUAAACUUCUUCCUCUGGUUGAUGUACUGUAAGAGACUACAGGACAGGUAAGUCAGCAAGAGUAGGACAAGAAAUCUCUACUGUUACAGGGAUGCAAAGGCAUCCUAAAAUGAAAGCCGCCACAUUCUCACUUGAACCGCGGCCUGAGGAUGCUUUGUACAAGACAGCGAGCUCUCCCGCUCAGUCCCUGCUGCAAUGGGAAAGACACGAAAAAGGAAGGGACUUGUGCCUUGGGAGGUACGAGGCUCCUUUCGCAACUAUGAUUAGACAUUCUGAAGCACUUUAAUAUUAACAAAAAGCCCAAAGUAGGAUUUGCUAAACUCAACUGGCCGGUUGCUGAGUUGGCAUUAGAAUUUGCAGCCGUUUAGCUAAACUCUGUACCACGUGGCUUCAGCUCAGGGCUCACUAUUCUCCACUUCUUUCUUCUCAGCGCAGGACUUUCUCGUUUGCCUCACAGACCAUAACGGACCCCCUCGUGAGAGGGAACAAGCUAGCAAGGAACAGAAGGAGGAAUCCGACGGCUUUGCCCACUUUCCCAAACCAGAGCUGCUCUGGAAACCAAAACAAAGUGUUUUUUCUUACCUGUCGAUGACUAAGUUUCCGUCAUUGUUGCGGAUCCCUGCCCACAUGUCCCACAGCUCGCUCUCAGAGGGGCGGGUGUACGGCCCAAAGACUGGGGUGAGACUGAAAGAGCCCGAAAGAGCAGAAAGACACAGGUGCAUGUUAAAGAAUCCAGAAUGUUAAGUAUGACUGGAACCUCACGGGUCACAGAGUCUGACCCUUAACUGAUUUGUGAAUUUCUACUACCACUUCCCUGGCCAAUGGCCAACAUCUGUGUCUUAAAAUACCAAACCCUGGCCCGGAAUGUUAAUGGCAGCUUUUCACUACAUUGUUCCCGGGCUAUAGCGAAUCAGUAAUGACUCACCCUCGGGAGAAUACAAAGAAGUUCAUCAAUCGUGUCAGGAUGGGUGACAGCACGCCUCCAUCUUUGAGGAGCUGUAGGCAAAGAGAGUCAAUGAGAGAAAGCCAUGAGCAUCACUGAUAAAGGGAGAGACUCCCGUCCGAAUCUGCCCUUAUGGUAUUCAGGGGACAUCCGGAUAUUCAUGGACUUACUUACAAGUCAGGCUCAAUGGCACACAAGGAAAAAGAACCCUCUCCAAAAGAUUGAAGCAAAGGCUCAGUAAUUUCUAAGUGAAACCUGGCAUUACCAUCAAUUAAGAGUUUUUGGGGGGGCGCUAGGGUGGCUCAGCACCUGACUCUGGAUUUCAGCUCAGGUCAUGAUCUCACUGUUUGUGAGAUGGAGCUCUGCAUUGUCAACCACGGAGCCUGCUUGGGGUUCUCUUUCCAGAAUAAAUAAAAAUAAACAUUUUUUGAAAGAUUAAGAGUUUCUGGAACAAACCACAGGGUAUCAGAAGCGCCUGUGGUUUCAUCACAACUAUCUGCAUAACCCACUGCAGUUGCUGCAGCGAGUGCUCUCCUCACGACCAACCGUGGUUGUUGCUAGACCCACCCACAGAUCUUGCUGCGCGAUGCAUUUACAAAGAAACACGUGUUACUGUAACGCAGCUUUUUAUUAGCUGUUUGUCGACACGAGCAGUUUCUUUCGUGAUCCUAUUUGUUUUAUUUUCCAUGUUUAAAAACGUUCUGAGAAAGAGUCGACAAAUCUCAUUAGAGAUUUCGUGGUUCGUGGCAUAAGAAAGGUCAAGAUCCUCUGGUGUAAUUAUGUCUGCCUGCAAUAUCAUGAGAUUACUGUUUAGAUGUCGACCUGAUAUCUACAUGUGGCCCUUUGAGGCUACACCUCACUUUCCGCCCACCACCACGGCAGUUACCUCCAUUUGACAGACAGAGACUCUUUAUGGUAAGCCGACCAGAUCGAUUCUGCUUGAACCUAGAAAUGGGUGAGGGAAACACACAUCUAACUCAGUGGACACACACCAACGCAGCAGCUGAAGACAAACUCCCGAGAGGGAAAAGGACUAGAAAGAACCCAGGAACAAUUUAUUUUUCCCAGCACUUUAAACCAGCGAUACCUGUGAGCAGUACUGAAGUCUACGACCUCACUGACCUAUAGAGCAGCUCCUGAGCAACGAUAUCUCCAUAGUC